rnacentral:rRNA from 1 species
AGUGAACGCUGGCGGUAGGCCUAACACAUGCGAGUCGAACGGCAGCACAGGAGAGCUUGCUCUCUGGGUGGCGAGUGGCGGACGGGUGAGGAAUACAUCGGAAUCUACUUUUUCGUGGGGGAUAACGUAGGGAAACUUACGCUAAUACCGCAUACGACCUACGGGUGAAAGCAGGGGACCUUCGGGCCUUGCGCGAUUGAAUGAGCCGAUGUCGGAUUAGCUAGUUGGCGGGGUAAAGGCCCACCAAGGCAACGAUCCGUAGCUGGUCUGAGAGGAUGAUCAGCCACAUUGGAACUGAGACACGGUCCAGACUCCUACGGGAGGCAGCAGUGGGGAAUAUUGGACAAUGGGCGCAAGCCUGAUCCAGCCAUACCGCGUGGGUGAAGAAGGCCUUCGGGUUGUAAAGCCCUUUUGUUGGGAAAGAAAUCCAGCUGGCUAAUACCCGGUUGGGAUGACGGUACCCAAAGAAUAAGCACCGGCUAACUUCGUGCCAGCCGCCGCCGUAA